rnacentral:misc_RNA from 1 species
UCGGGCGCGCACUGGUGCGCGGUAUUCUGGGAGGUUUCCGGCGAUAACGGGCCGAGGAAUAAGGGAUUAAGGGAAUAGGGGAGUAAGGGAGUAUGUUUGGUUGCGGACGGCUUUGCCGCCCGCGAUAUUCUAGAGCGCAUCCCGAAAAGUGUGAAACGGUUUUCGGAAAAGAUGCGCGUUAAAACAAAGGAUUAGAGCGCCGAUCUGAUUCAAU